rnacentral:misc_RNA from 1 species
UGGCUCUAGCAUCGAUGAAGAACGCAGCGAAACGCGAUAAGUAGUGUGAAUUGCAGAAUUCAGUGAAUCAUCGAAUCUUUGAACGCACAUGGCGCCCCCCGGCAUCCCGGGGGGCAUGCCUGUCCGAGCGUCGUUUCAACCCUCGAGCCCCCCGUGGCCCGGCGUUGGGGAUCUACGGCUCCGGCCGCAGGCCCCGAAAACCAGUGGCGGACCCGCGUCGGCCCUCCCUUGCGUAGUAGCAUCAGCCUCGCAUCGGAAGCCCGCGGCAGCUCCGGCCUCUAAACCCCCCACUAAAGUCCGUCCCCGGCGGCACCAAGGUUGACCUCGGAUCAGGUAGGAAUACCCGCUGA